CAUAACCUGCGUCAGAUCCUAAUGUGCCACUCGGUGAGAUUUCACACACAGGCACCGCAGGGAUCGCCAGCACCCCGAGAAGGACCCCUCCAUCCCUGCCCACAGUGUGUGCCUCCAGGGUUAACUGCCUGGACUUCUGGAUUCUUUCCUCUUUUUUUUUUUUUUUUUUGGUACAGUGGAUCGAACUCGGGACCUUGUGCUUGCAAGCCACCUGUCCCCAUCCCUUGUUGGAGAACUCACACCCAUAUCCACGAUGAUGGAACAGAGGCUGUAGAAAGGAGGAAAUGGUGACAAAAAGGGCAGCUGAGAACGGCCAGAGCAGUGUCCUCAGGUGGGAGGGGACAGGAUCUGCUGCCUCGGGGAGAGGUGGCCUCGGUCCAGAGCAAGGUGGCUCCCCAGGCACUGAGGUAAGCCACGAGCAUCCUCUUCCGUUUUCUCAGUGAAACAGGAAGCAAGGUCAGCACCACAGGCAGAGGACACGAGGGAAGGUUGGGAGCCCAAGGAGAGAAGAGGAGAGUGGGAAGGGAAAUGGACUGGGGAAGUAUGAGAUAACUGCCCGGGUACUGCAGCCUGCUGAGAGGAAAGAGGCUGAGCUGAGAGUGAGGCCAGACCUUGGGCCUGGAGCUUCUCUGUGGCCACAGGCAGAGGGCAGAUGCAGGUGGGUUGGCAGAUGUUCCAGCUGCCGUCCUCCAGGCCACUGUGGCCAGGUUCUCUGCUCCUCAGGCAGGAUGUCUGCCCCACAUCCCAGGACCACUUGACCCUCAAAGCGGGGAACAUCCUGCCCUGAAAUCUGGCCAGAAAGCAAGCACCAGGGAAGCCACCAGCAAGCCCUUCACUCCCCCCCACUCUCCCCCUUGUCUUUCCAGCUCAGUCUUCCAUGACAAGUUUAUUUUCUCACAGUUCAGGAGGCUGGAAGUCCACACUCAACGUGCCAGCCUGGUUGGGUUCUAGCCAGGGACCUCUUCCUGGCUUGCACAUGAUCACCUUUAAUGGAGUCUUUAUACAGAGGAGAAACAGCAAGAAAGCUCUCCCAUAUCUCUUGUUACAAGGGCACUAAUGCCAUGAUGAGGGACCCGCCCCUGCAGCCUCAUCCAAACUUAGUUAUCUCCCAAGGACCCUAUCUCCGAAAGCCAUCACUCUGGGAUGAGGGCUUCCACAUGGGACCUGGGGUUGGGGUGGGGACGCCCUGUAGUUCACCGCCCCUCAUGACCUGCUCUCAGUCUCUAACAAGGACCACACACAUGCCCAGGUGCCGGGCUUCAGAACAGAGGAGGGACGGAAAUGCGUCCUGGCUCUUACAAGACAUGUUUGUAUCACAGCAACCCCAGUGGGACAAAAAGAGGAGUGUUUCAUGUUUGUACUUUCUAUGGUGUAUCUUCCAGAGCUAUGAUGCCCAGUGUGGUAGCCACUGGCCACAUGUGGCUUGACAUGUCGGAGCUGUUUCAAAGACCAAAUGGGCAAAAUACUGAAAAUACAGUAUCUCCUAAUCUUGGAUAUUAAUUACCUGUCGAAAUGAUAGUAUAUUGGCUUUAUUGCGUUGAAGUAUAUUAUGAAGUUAAUUUCAUCUCUUUAUUCACUUUUAAAAUAUGGUUGCUAGAAAAUUUAACAGUAGACCCGUGGCUUACAUUUCUGCCCUGCAUCCCACUCCUGUUGGAUCAGGCAUGCAUAGAGGACCUGCGUUAGGCACUUUCCUUGUCCCUGGAACAAAAUAUCCAACACCCACAGCUUAAAGGAAGAGAGGUCUAGUUUGGCUCACAAUCCGUAGCGGUUUCAGUCUGUGCUCAGCUGGCUCCAACUCUGGGCAGCCUGACAGUGAGGCGUGGGAAGGGGAGCUGCAGGGCAGGCAGGAAGCAAAGGGUGAGGGGAGCUGGGAGGGAGAGCGACCCUUCCAGCCCUGCCCCAGCGACCCGCCUUCUACAACCAGGCCCCUCCUAACAGGGAGUCGCCACAGGGUCCCAAAUUCACUCACGUUCCCAAAGCCUCACCUAUGAGUAUGGGAGGCCGUGAAAGGACAGACGUAAACCGUGAGAGGGCCCUACAUCCCGGACAUCGGCAGCGGCCUUCUGCCCUAGGGCAGUGUUCAUAGCACAGCAGAUAAAGCUUUCACCCAGGCGUGGUCUGGGCUCUGCUGUGGAAUUUAAGGCAUGGGGCCGCACCUCUAGGAGGCUGGGGUCACAGGGGGCUCGGGAGGACACUGCCUCAGUCACAGCGGCCUUCACACUGGGGCUUGGGGCUCCACCGCUGGUCUCCGUAUGUCUGACCUGGCUGCUGCUGGUGUGAUUCAGAGACACAGAAAUAACGCCUUUUAAAACGCUAGACGCCCCUCAGGCACAAGAUGCCCACAUUUUGGGACUCAUAACCGCUUAUUCUGUUCCCCUGAGCUCUCCUUUCCCGGGUCAGGAAGCCCAGGAGAUCCUCAGCACCAUUUGCAUUUCCUCUUUUCCUUUUUUUCUUUCCCCAAGAAAAUAAGUGAUUUUUUUUUUUUUUGAAAAUAAGUGAAUUUUAUGUAAGGUAGAAAAUACCUGUGGGGCCAUUCCACUGAAUUUCAUAUACCCAUUCCCAUUUGCUAUUUAUUAAAUUUGGCUAUUAGUAUCCUAUUGUAAUACCCACGUAUAUAGCACAAUUAUUUCCCCGUUGUUCAGCUUUGGAAUAAUUUCCCCUUUUCCUCUUAUCACACACAGUAAAGCUAUGAAUAUCUUUUUUUUCCAUUUGAAUUAUUUUAUUGGAAUGUUUUCCCUGAAGUAAAAUUGGUUGGCUAGAAAGAAUAUACAAUUUAAUGGCUCCUGAGAUUUUUUUCUUCACAUCACUCUCUCAAAGGACUAUCACAUGUCCUGCCUCCCGUGUGGGUACAGGUUCCUAUCCUGCUUUCACACAGACCUGCCAGAUCUGGGUGUGAUCAUUUGUAUUUAUUUUCACUAGUUUACAGAAGAUAUCUCUUAGACAUUAUAUCUGCAUUUACUGAAUUGCUAGUGAGAACGAGUAAGUUCCUCUUAAAACCCAGAAAAAAUAAAAUAAACGGCUACAUCAAUAGAUUUUUUUAAAAAAAUACUUUUCAGCUAGGCGUGCUGGUGCAUGCCUGUAAUCGCAGCACUUUGGGAGGCUGAGGCAGGAGGAUCCCAAGUUCCAACCCAGCCUGGACAAUUUAGUGAGCCUCUGUUUCACAUUUAAAAAUAAAAAGGGGGCUGGGGCUGGGCAUAUAGCACCGCGUGAAGGUCCUGGGUUCAACCUCAGUACUAGGGAAGGGGGGAACCUUACAGUUUUUCCAUGUGUCCGGAUUUGGGGGAUACCCACGGCUGACCCCAAGGCUGAAUGUGGCCGACCCCGAAUCACUGUUGUCAUAGUGGCCCAAGAAGGCUGCUCCAGCUGAUAAAGCCAUCUAUUUGCUCUGGGCAACCUGAAAGCACAGCGGACAGUCCCUUCCCUGCAAGCUUCAGAUGAGUCCUGGCAUUUCGUAAUUGCCAUAUGUUGCUUGCUCAGGAUCAAGACACAUUCUAUUUUAUAUGCAAAAAGAUUGCCGGAGACACUGCCUGAUCUUUCGCGCACGGGUUAUUAAAACCUCCGGAAGGCCUCAGUCCCUGCGACAGGGAACCUCCCGGAGCCGCAUCCCGUGCCCGGAGGCGCCCGUGACCAGGAGAGGGCACUGUGGGCCCGGCCCCGGGGAGAGGAUCGGGACGCUCCCGGCAUGACCGCUAGAUGGCGCCUCACAAUAACGAAUGGACCGGACGCCCUUGAGAGCGCGGCCGGGCUCCGCAGCCUCCGCUCGCCAAGCCCACUCAGACAUCUCCUGCGCAGAAAUACUGAAACGUUCAUUCCAGGUGAAAAUACACCAGCUGCCGGUGAAAAACCACGCUCGGCGCUGUCACGUCAGCACCCGAUGCAGGUUAAUAACCGGCUCUGGAGCAGAGG
rnacentral:lncRNA from 1 species